UACAGAGGGUGCGAGCGUUAAUCGGAAUUACUGGGCGUAAAGUGUGCGCAGGCGGCAGAGCAAGUCGAGUGUGAAAGCCCCGGGCUUAACUUGGGAAUUGCGCUCGAAACUACUUUGCUGGAGUGUGGCAGAGGAAGGUGGAAUUCCACGUGUAGCGGUGAAAUGCGUAGAGAUGUGGAGGAACACCAAUGGCGAAGGCAGCCUUCUGGGCCAACACUGACGCUCAUGCACGAAAGCGUGGGGAGCAAACAGG
rnacentral:rRNA from 1 species